rnacentral:rRNA from 1 species
AACUGAAGAGUUUGAUCAUGGCUCAGAUUGAACGCUGGCGGCAGGCUUAACACAUGCAAGUCGAGCGGGGGAAGGUAGCUUGCUACUGGACCUAGCGGCGGACGGGUGAGUAAUGCUUAGGAAUCUGCCUAUUAGUGGGGGACAACAUCUCGAAAGGGAUGCUAAUACCGCAUACGUCCUACGGGAGAAAGCAGGGGAUCUUCGGACCUUGCGCUAAUAGAUGAGCCUAAGUCG